GACACGGCUUCCUUCCAUGCUCCUCGAUCUGUACGGUAUGGCGCCGCCGCCGGCCCGCCGGUCUUCUUCUCCGGCCGUCAGCGCCCUCUUUUCCUUCCCCUCAAUAUCCGCUCCUAAUCUUCUCCGGCGUCUCCCGCAGUCUCCUCAAUCUCCAACCUCUUGCUCCAGUGCUGUUCUUCUCUGAUUUGGAUCGAGUUGGAGUCCGUCUCCAACAAAAAAUCAUGGAGUGCCCGACCCGGAUUGGACUUGCCGGCCAUAAGAAGGAAGGAUCCUCCACCGCUUGCCUGCCUUGCGCCUCCGGCGUUCUCGCGUCGCGGCUCGACCUGGCCCUUGCCCUGUCUCUCGCCAUCGGCUCCCAGGUCAGAGACCUCGCCUCGGUCCUCCUUCUUAGCGCCUGGGUCGCCAGCCACGCUCAGCCCCCUCCUUGGCUUCGAUCUGAUGGCCCUUCCCCAACCUCCUCGACCUCGACAGAUCCGGGAGGCCGCUGCUCGGUCAGGAAGGUGUGUUGUGAUGUCUGAAGUCCUCUUACUUCCACUAAGUUUCAGGUUUAACCUCUGUAUAAUCUCAACUCAAGCAAGUUUCGCGCAGCAAUUGAGGAGGCUUUCCUAGCCCAGCUUGUUUUUCUGAACUCCAAAUAGGGAGUGGGUGUCAGAAGAGGGACGUUGGUGGUGUUCGAGAUGUAUCGGUGGUCAGCUGUUGGCAGGGCCCUCAUGGAGACACUGGACAAGAUGGUGCUCAGUGGUGUGCUCAGCCCCAAGCUCGCCUUAAGCAUCCUCCUGCAGUCCGUCCAUGAGAGGUUGGAGCACCAGGUCUAGCAAGGCAUUCUUCAAGUAAUUCAUCUCAUCCAGUAGGUUGAUUGUUUUUUUGGUAAGUCAUCUCAUCCAGUAGCUUGAUAGUAGGGCUGGUUUCCAUUGGUGCAUUACUUCGUAAAGAAAAUAAAUCACAUUGCAUUUACCCAAUGAUUCUUGUCCAGAACCAAUCAUAUUAUUUCUUUUCUACGAGUACUAUAUAUGUUGAUUAUUCAGAGGUCUCAUCUUUUGAGACUUGCAAAGGUAAGACGUACGAAGAAUGAGAGAUGGUGCAAGUUUCUUAAGUUUAUCAUCCCAUUGAAGCAUCACAAAAUGCAAGUAGUACUAUUCAAAGGGGUGAAGAAAUAACAUGCUAAUCAUUUUUAGAGGGCAAACUAGCUACCAUUUUUUUAAAUGGAGUGUGGCAUUGACCUCUGAGUCUGGAGCAAUUGUACUAAAAGUGUUUGAUAUUAACAAGUGACAACUAGCCAGACUGGUUACAUGUGAUGAGCUCCCUAGAGGCGCAACAGAGGCGAUAAACUCUUAGGUAUUUUUGGUAAAAUAAAUUUGUUCUUCUGUACAUUUUGUUGUACGAGCUAAAACAUGGCAGUUUAGACAAACAACACACUUCAGCCUCUGCUUAUAAUUGGAUUAAAGAUGCACAUCUGCCUUUUCUUGCGUUGUGCUCAGAGCAUAGAAUUUCAUUCUGUUAAUUCAUUGAUCGUGGCAGGAUUUAAACUUCUACAGGAAAUUAGUAGUGAUUGUUUGUACUGCAUUUCAAAGUUAGAACUAAAGGAGACACGGGCGUGACAAUUACACCAUUUGAAGGUCUAUCUUUUGCACAAUCUGAAUUUAUUAUUGUGUUGGCGAGCUAUGAAAGAACGGUGGUGCUGCAGCACUGAGGUACGUAUAUUACUUGCAAUGACAUGCAUUUGAUGGCCACCUUUACAGAAGCUCCUCUCUGGAAACAAGGAGCAAAUGACUAUUAUUUGAAAUCUGUUGUGCAUUAUUAUUUUUGGUUAUGUUCCAAAAUCCUAGAUGCAUAGCAAAGCACAUUAGUGGAUAUAUGAAUCAUUUUUGUCUACUGAUUCUUGUUCAAUUACUUUUAUGAAAGGCAAGGGUAUGCACUUUUCACUAUCAAUCUUGGAGUAAGACGCCUGCAAGUGAGGAGCAGUUGAUGAAAGCUAUUGGUUACCACACCUCUUAUUAGUGCCAAGUUGUAGCAUCUGAAUUGCUGUGGUGUUCUUUCAUAGUCUUUCUUAGCUUUAUUUAUUUUCCAUUGAUUGCUGACCUAUAUAGUGUUGUAAUUUCCCAUAACUACAAACUAUCGGGCUAACAUAUUGGCAUCUGCCAGUAUUGCCCUUCAUACGGAAAGACUGAAAAUGCUGAAGAACUGCCUGGCAAGCAUAUUGGCAGUAGACUUUCAGUGAGACUUCAGUUUCCAUCAUCAAAGUGCUCGUAAGAUUAGUUAAGUAGAAAAUGUUUUAUUAAAGGACUCAUAAAGCUUAUUUGGAAUUGGAUGAGGUUACUUUAUGGAACAACAACGUGUGAUAUGCUAAGUAAUAAACGGUUACAUAAGUUCAUUCAGGAGUUCACCAUCAAUUUGCUAUGGUUAUCAUAAGUCAUGGACUACUAAUGAUAUAAAUCUACAGAUUGACCUCUUAUUAUACCCUGAGUGCCAUCAAUUUCAAGAGAAUAACGAGGCAUGCUACCUGCUUUAUUCUUCCUUGCAUAACUAUAUAUGCAGCUGGACUUUAUCAUUUGUCACACUGAUUUAUACACUGUAAUUAUGUAGCCACCCAUUGUGUCAAAACGAGCCUUCCUUGGUCCAGGGAGAUAGAGAAGGUGGCUCGUUCGCAAGUUCAAGCUGGCCAUGAGCGACGCUCUUUAGUCGCUCCCAGCAAUGCACUGUGUGUUGGCUGGGAUCUUACCCAGAUAGUAUCUCCAGUACUGUAAUGGCAGAUUAUACUCCUGAUUAGUUGAGUGAUACAAUUUCUUUCCAAUUUUUUUUGUUUUAGCCCAUGGUUAUUUGGUUAAAGAUUGUUAUGUUUUUUGUUCUCCCGUUGCAACGCACGAGCAUUUGUGCUAGUAAUCUACAAAACACAUUACAACGGCAGGUAUUGAGUCCUCCCUGUUGAUCGCCUGUUAGUGCACAUAGCAAUUUGAGGGAAGAGAAAAUUGGCCAGCUUGAAGUAGUAGUGCUAGGUGUUGAGUAUAUUAUGUGCGUAUAUGUUUGUGUAUAGGGCCCACCUUCUGUUUUCUCUGUAUAGUUAAGGUUGUGACCCACCUCUGUAUUUAUAUA